rnacentral:rRNA from 1 species
GACGAACGCUGGCGGCGUGCUUAACACAUGCAAGUCGAACGAAGUGGCGAACGGGUGAGUAACGCGUAAUCAACCUGCCCUUCAGAGGGGGACAACAGUUGGAAACGACUGCUAAUACCGCAUACUGAAGGAGGGGCUUGCGUCUGAUUAGCUAGUUGGAGGGGUAACGGCCCACCAAGGCGAUGAUCAGGAGCAGAUCUGAGAGGAUGAACGGCCACAUUGGGACUGAGACAGGGCCCAAACUCCUACGGGAGGCAGCAGUGGGGAAUCGUCAGCAAUGGACGAAAGUCUGACGGAGCAACGCCGCGUGAGUGAUGACGGCAUUCGGGUUGUAAAGCUCUGUUAAGCGGGACGCGGUACCGGAAUAGAAAGCAACGGCUAACUACGUGCCAGCAGCCGCGGAAUAC